rnacentral:lncRNA from 1 species
UUAUUCCAGGAGACAGGGGAGGUCAUUAGAGAUGUCAAGGCCUAGGUAUUUUGCAUCCUGAUCGAACUGUUUCUAAAACAUUGAGCUCUGUGCAGAAGUUUUUGUACCAGUAUUCAGUGUGAUGUUAAAGUAAAGCAGAAUGGCUAGAGACCAGUAACUUCAGAAUUGAAGAGAUAUGCAGGCCUUUGUUCUACAUGGUGAAUGAGGGAACCAUGGUGGAGUUUUGAUUUAAUGAGUGAAACCUGUGAAGUGUUAGUGAAGCAGAAUAGUUACAGAUGAUCAGAGAUGCAGGUCUUUGUUCAGCAUAGUGUAUAUGGAAAACAUAGUAGAUGGCCACCAUUUAGCGAGUCUGUAGGACUGUGAUGUGUGUACCAGUCUAUCAGGCUAUCCCAUUUUGUCAAGUCAACAAAUUUGCAAUGGCUGCAUGGAUUCUCAAAUAACUUGGCAUAACUUUUCACAGUAACAAAAGAUAAUAGAGAAAUACCGGUAUAUGAGGCAGAGCUAUCUGCAGUAUGCCAGAGACACAGCAAGAAGUACACAUUGUUUUGCACAGAUUUGUGUUCCACAAAGGGAUUCUCACAGAAAAAAGUAAGAAUAUGUUAUGCUGCAUGAAUGCAAAGAGAGAAAAAAGCUACAUACCUAGAAGUUCAGUCAUACAGGC